rnacentral:piRNA from 1 species
UUGGACUCUUUGGUUCAUUUGAUUGCUUGGU